ACAAUUUGAAUGAAUAAGUAGUUAUUGCAUGUUGUAGCACUAAGAAAGCUAAUGGUUGAUGUAAAUUAGCACAAUGCAGUAAACGAAUUGGGCUUUCAAAUUACAAUUAAAUAAUUUAAAAGUGAACAAAUAAAAUUGUUAACUAAGGUGGCACCACGGUAACGCGUCCUUAUU
rnacentral:misc_RNA from 1 species